UACGAAGGGGGGCGAGCGUUGUUCGGAAUUACUGGGCGUAAAGGGCGCGUAGGCGGCGACCCAAGUCAGAUGUGAAAGUCCUGGGCUUAACCUGGGGACUGCAUUUGAUACUGGGUUGCUUGAGGACUGGAGAGGAGACUGGAAUUCAUGGUGUAGCAGUGAAAUGCGUAGAGAUCAUGAGGAAGACCAGUGGCGAAGGCGGGUCUCUGGACAGUUCCUGACACUGAGACACGGAAGGCCCAGGGGAGCAAACGGG
rnacentral:rRNA from 1 species